AGCGAACGCUGGCGGCAGGCUUAACACAUGCAAGUCGAACGGGCGUAGCAAUACGUCAGUGGCAGACGGGUGAGUAACGCGUGGGAACGUACCUUUUGGUUCGGAACAACCCAGGGAAACUUGGGCUAAUACCGGAUAAGCCCUUACAGGGAAAGAUUUAUCGCCGAAAGAUCGGCCCGCGUCUGAUUAGCUAGUUGGUGUGGUAACGGCGCACCAAGGCGACGAUCAGUAGCUGGUCUGAGAGGAUGAUCAGCCACAUUGGGACUGAGACACGGCCCAAACUCCUACGGGAGGCAGCAGUGGGGAAUAUUGGACAAUGGGCGCAAGCCUGAUCCAGCCAUGCCGCGUGAGUGAUGAAGGCCCUAGGGUUGUAAAGCUCUUUUGUGCGGGAAGAUAAUGACGGUACCGCAAGAAUAAGCCCCGGCUAACUUCGUGCCAGCAGCCGCGGU
rnacentral:rRNA from 1 species